ACGAACGCUUGCGGCGUGCCUAAGAAAUGCAAGUCGGACGGGGCAUCAUUUCGGUGGUGUCUAGUGGCGAACGGUCGCGUAACACGUAAGCAACCUGCCCGGAAGUGGGGGACAACGGCCCGAAAGGGCCGCUAAUACCGCAUGUGGUCACGAGCCUGCAUGGGCUUGUGUCCUAAAGCCUUGUGCGCUUCCGGAUGGGCUUGCGGCCUAUCAGCUGGUUGGUGGGGUAACGGCCUACCAAGGCGUUGACGGGUAGCUGGUCUGAGAGGACGAUCAGCCGGAUUGGGACUGAGAUACGGCCCAGACUCCUACGGGGGGCAGCAAUUAGGAAUCUUGCACAAUGGGGGAAACCCUGAUGCAGCGACGCCGCGUGGGGGACGAAGGCAUUCGUGUCGUAAACCCCUUUUACCGGGGAAGAAGGAAGUGACGGUACCCGGUGAAUAAGCCCCGGCUAACUACGUGCCAGCCAGCCGCGGUAAUACGUAGGGGGCGAGCGUUGUCCGAAGUUACUGGGCGUAAAGCGCGCGUAGGCGGCUUUCUAAGUCUGGGGUGAAAGGUUCAGCGCUCAACGCGAACAGUGCCCUGGAGACUGGGAGGCUUGAGUGUGGGAGGGGGGUAGCGGAAUUCCGGGUGUAGCGGUGAAAUGCGUAGAUAUCCGGAGGAACACCGGUGGCGAAGGCGGCUACCUGGCCUGACACUGACGCUGAGGCGCGAAAGCGUGGGGAGCGAACGGGAUUAGAUACCCCGGUAGUCCACGCCGUAAACGAUGGGUGCUAGGUGUCCGGGGUAUCGACCCCCCGGGUGCCGCCGCUAACGCAGUAAGCACCCCGCCUGGGGAGUACGGCCGCAAGGUUGAAACUCAAAGGAAUUGACGGGGGCCCGCACAAGCGGUGGAGCAUGUGGAUUAAUUCGUCACUAACCGAAGAACCUUACCCAGGCUUGACAUCGAGGGAAAGGCCGUGAAAGCGGUCCCCUGGAGCAAUCCAGCCCGAAGACAGGUGUUGCAUGGCUGUCGUCAGCUCGUGUCGUGAGAUGUUGGGUUAAGUCCCGCAACGAGCGCAACCCUCACCGUAUGUUGGCAGCGUCGAGUCGGCCACUCUUACGGAACUGCCCGUGCAAGCGGGAGGAAGGUGGGGACGACGUCAAGUCGGCAUGGCCCUUACGCCUGGGGCUUCACACAUGCUACAAUGGCCGGCACAGAGGGAUGCGAAGCCGCGAGGCGGAGCCGAUCCCAAAAAUCCGUCCUCAGUUCGGAUCGCAGGCUGCAACUCGCCUGCGUGAAGCUGGAAUCGCUAGUAACCGCCGGUCAGCGAAACGGCGGUGAAUACGUUCCCGGGCCUUGUACACACCGCCCGUCAAGUCACCUGAAUUGUCUGCACCCGAAGCCGGCGGCCCAACCCCAGCAAUGGGGAGGGAGCCGUCUAAGGUGUGGGGAGUAAGGGGGACU
rnacentral:rRNA from 1 species